UACGAAGGGUGCAAGCGUUACUCGGAAUUACUGGGCGUAAAGGGCGCGUAGGCGGCGCGGUAAGUCACUUGUGAAAUCUCUGAGCUUAACUCAGAACGGCCAAGUGAUACUGCAGUGCUAGAGUGUGGAAGGGGCAAUCGGAAUUCUUGGUGUAGCGGUGAAAUGCGUAGAUAUCAAGAGGAACACCUGAGGUGAAGACGGGUUGCUGGGCCAACACUGACGCUGAGGCGCGAAAGCCAGGGGAGCAAACGGG
rnacentral:rRNA from 1 species